UGAUGAUAUCUUUAGAUAACCAAACAGACUUUAUAGGUCUCCACCUUCUAGUCUGUGCCCUCUGAUCCUAUUGAAGAUCCACUUACACUCUAUGGGCUUUAUCCUUUUGAGUGGAUCAACAAGUCCAUACACCGUUGACCUUUAUGGACUCUAUUUUAGACUUUUAUGGCUCCAAGCCACUAAUCAGAGUUGGACCUCUGUAUAGCAUCCAUACAGG
rnacentral:lncRNA from 1 species